rnacentral:tRNA from 1 species
CCUUCGAUAGCUCAGUUGGUAGAGCGGUGGACUGUAGUUGGCUCGAUUAACGCGGUGAAAAGAAAGAGACAUCCAUAGGUCGCUGGUUCAAAUCCGGCUCGAAGGA